CAGUACUUCCAGGUGCCACUAGAUGCUCCCAUCUCCAUUUGUGUCACAGUCAACUCUGGCCUUGCAGAUCACAGUCGCUGAGCAGAGGGAUGGCAUGCAGCUCAGAGGCAGGACCUGACUCAGGGAAAUUCCAGAGAUCUCACUAAGAAGGAGUAAAGCCACAUCUUGACGCUACAUCUAUGCCAUUGAGGGGCAUAAGAACGCACUCUAAAUAUACAUUUGGUACCAAUGGAACUGCAUUUGACCUGGAUAGAGUUUGAGAUGCAGCCACCUCAGCUUACAUAAGCAACUACAGCUAUUGUUGCCGUGCAUUCCCUUGCAUACAUUCAGCACAUGGGUUAGAUGAGCUCUGGCGUCGAUGUCUCCUCAGUGGUAUUCCGCAAAAUCUACCCUCUGGCAGGAAUUACAUUGGAUGACAAAACUUCAAGUGCACCACACACAGUCACAAUGAAAAGCAUAUGUUGUGGAAAUAUGUGCUGUAAAGAUGGUUUCCGUGUUGACCUAAAUAUUGGAUUUAUUAGUAUGGAAUAUAUCUGUUUUGUGCUAUUAGUCCUGGUUGCUCAGCAGUUAAAGAUAUUCAAGAGAAAUUGAGAUUUAAAGUGGACCAGCAAGAAACUACUGGAUACUGGAGCUGGUCCAGAGGUUGGAGGAUGCAACAGCUGGGAACAGAUGACAGUGGAGAGCAGAAGAAGGUCACGCUGCUUCUCUUCAAGCAAUUUAAAGUCUGCAGAUUGAGCUCCAAUGACAGCUGUAGCAAGAGUGACACCCACGGGCUAGGAAAAGUUACUGCAAUAUAUAUUACAACAGUGUAGCAUCAUAAAAGACACAAAAUACAUAUGUGUCCCCUGACUCAGCACUCAUAUGUUUGGGAGGUUGGGACCCGGAAGUUGAUCAUUCACACAGCCUGUCAGCAAUACUGCAGCCUACAUGAGCCAUAGGCUUGGCUUGAACUGCCUUACAAUGCCGGGACAACUCUUCUCAACCAUUGCAUAUGUUCUCUUAUCAAUGUUCAAAGGGCAGUAUCGUUAUUGUUCAAUAAUAAGACACUUUUGGUGGAAUGUAUAAAUUUUUGCCUGAAAAUUUCGAUAAAUCCUGCCCUCUUGUGUAUGCAUUUCUGAAAAGACUUCCAGAUUUAAGACACGGGAGGCUGCGAAUGCACAAUAGGACAGAGAUAGAGAGGGAUUCUCUAGAUCCCUCUCCAGGGCUUUUGCAAAACUAAGUCAAUAGGCAGUGGCAUAACUACAAAUUUUGCACCCCCCUGGCAAAAAAUCUCUUUCCUCCCCCCCUUCCAUGGUACCUGCUCGUUGUCAGGGGUCCUGUUCGUUGUUGUCCCCCCCUCCCUUCCCCCCCCCCCCCCCGGCAGGGGCCACUGUUUAAGCCUGCCCAUUUCAUACUAUUGAAAAUGUCCCUCCCAAAAUGGACACUGCCUCCUCUAUCAUCCUUAUUAACUGUUUCCUCUGAGGUGGCGUCCAUUUUGGGAGGGAUAACUCUCUCACGGAGCUGCUGCUCAGGCCAGCGGCUCCUUUCUGCUGCACCGACAGCGGCAUGGCGGCCCAGGACAGGUGUCCCCACAGUACCCUCAGCACUCACAAGCCACCCAACCCCUCCUAACCACCGCGGGGACUGUUGCUAUUCCACUGCCCAUGAGCUUCUAUAGGCAACACCAUGUGUAGAUGGUGUUGCCUAUCAGGCAGGAGCUUCAGAAAGUUAUUCUUUCCAGAGCUUGCUGCAUAUGGGUACAUUGCAGCUCCGUAGGUUUCUGUGGGGUCCACUGUGCCGCGAGACCACAACAGAUACAGUAUCUCUAAUAUCUGCUGCGGACCCUUUUUAAUACAUAUGGUUCGGUAAAUGUAUUGUGCUAAAACUCAGAAAACAGCUGUUUUCAGUGGUUUUUACUGCAUUAACAUUGAUACAGCCCAUCCUUAUUUACUGGCUUGAUGGCACUUCUACCAAAUUUUGCAGAGCAUUGCAUGUUAAACCAAAACAUAAUAAUGUCUGGAUUUUGGAACUUGGGAACUAUGGAACAAACAUAUAAACAUGUUGAAUGGUUA